GACGAACGCUGGCGGCGUGCUUAACACAUGCAAGUCGAACGGAAAGGCCCUGCUUUUGUGGGGUGCUCGAGUGGCGAACGGGUGUGUAACACGUGAGUAACCUGCCCUUGACUUUGGGAUAACUUCAGGAAACUGGGGCUAAUACCGGAUAGGAGCUCCUGCUGCAUGGUGGGGGUUGGAAAGUUUCGGCGGUUGGGGAUGGACUCGCGGCUUAUCAGCUUGUUGGUGGGGUAGUGGCUUACCAAGGCUUUGACGGGUAGCCGGCCUGAGAGGGUGACCGGCGACAUUGGGACUGAGGUACGGCGCAGACUCCUACGGGAGGCAGCAGUGGGGAAUAUUGCACAAUGGGCGGAAGCCUGAUGCAGCGACGCCGCGUGCGGGAUGACGGCCUUCGGGUUGUAAACCGCUUUCGCCUGUGACGAAGCGUGAGUGACGGUAAUGGGUAAAGAAGCACCGGCUAACUACGUG
rnacentral:rRNA from 1 species